CUACGGGAGGCAGCAGUGGGGAAUAUUGGACAAUGGGCGCAAGCCUGAUCCAGCCAUGCCGCGUGUGUGAUGAAGGCCUUAGGGUUGUAAAGCACUUUCACCGGAGAAGAUAAUGA
rnacentral:rRNA from 1 species